GAUGCCUCUUCACUCCUGCUCUGGGCUCCUUGGACUCCGCUUCUCCCAUGCCCUCCUUGCCUUCUGGUGCACCUUUGUGGGCAGCAGCUCUGCUGUGACAGUGACCCAGACUCCAAGCUUUGUCAGUGGCUCGACCGAGGAAAGUACCCAUAUUUCCUUUGAAUGCUCUGUUGAAAAAGGCUAUAAUUUGUUUUGGUAUCGCCAACUGCCUGGGAAGACAGAAUUGGAAGUCCUUGGGCUUGUCUACAGUUACGCUAAAAAGCUUGAAGAGAUUGGAAAUGAUUUUAAGGGUCGGCUGAAUGGAAGUAUCACAGACAGUUCAGCUAAGCGGCAUAUGCGUUUGAAUUUGUUUAAACUUCAGGCGAAUGACACAGGCUUCUAUCUGUGUGCUGCGGUGUACACAGUGAAAGAGAAAGGAACAAUGGCAGGUGCAAAACUGAGUAUCAGGAACAAAUCUGCCCUCUACUCUUUUCUACUCAUAUCCAUCUUUUACUGA